rnacentral:rRNA from 1 species
GACGAACGCUGGCGGCGUGCUUAACACAUGCAAGUCGAACGGAAAGGCCCUGCUUUUGUGGGGUGCUCGAGUGGCGAACGGGUGAGUAACACGUGAGUAACCUGCCCUUGACUUUGGGAUAACUUCAGGAAACUGGGGCUAAUACCGGAUAGGAGCUCCUGCUGCAUGGUGGGGGUUGGAAAGUUUCGGCGGUUGGGGAUGGACUCGCGGCUUAUCAGCUUGUUGGUGGGGUAGUGGCUUACCAAGGCUUUGACGGGUAGCCGGCCUGAGAGGGUGACCGGCCACAUUGGGACUGAGGUACGGACCAGACUCCUACGGGAGGCAGCAGUGGGGAAUAUUGCACUAUGGGCGGAAGCCUGAUGCAGCAACGCCGCGUGCGGGAUGACGGCCUUCGGGUUGUAAACCGCUUUCGCCUGUGACGAAGCGUGAGUGACGGUAAUGGGUAAAGAAGCACCGGCUAACUACGUG